GACGAACGCUGGCGGCGUGCCUAACACAUGUAAGUCGCACGGGACCGGGGGCAACUCCGGUUCAGUGGCAGACGGGUGCGUAACACGUGAAGAACCUGUCCAAUGGUGGGGGAUAGCCGGCCCAACGGCCGGGUAAUACCGCAUACGAUCGUUCGGGGGCAUCCCUGGGCGAUGAAAGCAGCCGCAAGGUUGCGCCGAUGGAGGGCUUCGCGGCCUAUCAGCUAGUUGGCGGGGUAAUGGCCCACCAAGGCGACGACGGGUAGCUGGUCUGAGAGGAUGGCCAGCCACAUUGGGACUGAGACACGGCCCAGACUCCUACGGGAGGCAGCAGUGGGGAAUCUUGCGCAAUGGCCGCAAGGCUGACGCAGCGACGCCGCGUGUGGGAUGACGGCCUUCGGGUUGUAAACCACUGUCGGGAGGAACGAAUACUCGGCUUCGAUAAGGAGACCGAGGGUGACGGUACCUCCAAAGGAAGCACCGGCUAACUCCGUGC
rnacentral:rRNA from 1 species